GUGCUUCAGCAGCACAUAGACUAAAAUCGGAGCGAUACAAAGAAGAUUAGCAUGGCCCCUGCACAAGGAUGACAUGCAAAUUCGUGAAGCAUUCCAGUUUUUU